UCAAGCGAACAAGGGCGCAGGGCGAAUGCCUUGGCACUGGGAGCCGAUGAAAGACGUGAUAAGCUGCGAUAAGCUUCGGGGAGCUGCAAAUAAGCAUUGAUCCGGAGAUUUCUGAAUGAGGAAACUCACCUGGGUUCAUACUCAGGUACAAUGCACUGAAAUUUAAAAUAGGUGUAUUGAGGGAACCGCCUGAACUGAAACAUCUAAGUAGGGCGAGGAAGAGACAUCAAACGAGAUUCCGUAAGUAGUGGCGAGCGAACGCGGAAGAGGGCAAACCGAGAGUAGAAAUACUUUCGGGGUACGGACUGCUUUUAAGACUCAAUCUGUUAACCGAACGGCAUGGGAAGGCCGGUCAGAGAGUGUGAGAACCACGUAGGUGAAAACGGAGAGAGCUGCGCAGGAUCCAGAGUACGGCCAGACACGUGAAACCUGGUCGGAAUACGGGGGGACCACCCUCCAACCCUAAAUACUACCCAGUGACCGAUAGCGUAUAGUACUGUGAAGGAAAGGUGAAAAGCACCCCGGGAGGGGAGUGAAAAAGAACCUGAAACCCUGUGCCUACAAGCACCUAGAGCGCGUCAAAGCGUGAUAGGGUACUUUUUGUAGAACGGUCCGGCGAGCGAUUGUAUGCAGCAAGGUUAAGGACUUAAGGUCUGGAGCCGAAGCGAAAGCGAGUUUGAAAAGGGCGUUAAGUUGCAUAUAAUGGGCCCGAAACCGGGUGACCUACCCAUGGUCAGGUUGAAGUGGAAGUAAAAUUCCAUGGAGGACCGAACCGACCUCCGUUGAAAAGGCGGCGGAUGAACUGUGGGUAGCGGAGAAAUUCCAAUCGAACCCGGAGAUAGCUGGUUCUCCCCGAAAUAGUUUUAGGACUAGCCUCAAGUUAGAUACCUGGAGGUAAAGCACUGAAUAGCCUAGCGGCCGAGAGGUUAGCGAAGCUUAUCAAACUCAGAAUGCCAGAGUAUUGAUGCUUGGGAGUCAGACAGUGUCAGAUAAAUGUCAUUGUCAAAAGGGAAACAGCCCAGAUCUACAGCUAAGGUCCCAAAGUCAGGUUAAGUGGAAAACGAUGUGAAGAUACGCAGACAACCAGGAUGUUGGCUCAGAAGCAGCCACUCAUUCAAAGAGUGCGUAAUAGCUCACUGGUCGAGCGUCUUUGCGCGGAGAAUUUAACGGGGCUAAACCUGACACCGAAGCUUAGGCAAUGCACGUAAGUGUAUUGGGUAGGGGAGCGUUGUAUACGCGGAGAAACAGUAGCGCAAGCGGCUGUGGAGUGUAUAGAAGUGAGAAUGCCGGAAUGAGUAGCGCGAAUGCAGUGAGAAUCUGCAUGGCCGAAAGCCUCAGGUUUCUGGAGGAAGGUUCGUCCGCUCCAGGUUAGUCGGGAGCUAAGGUGAGGCCGAAAGGCGUAGCCGAUGCACAGACGGUAGAGAUUCCGUCACCACCAAAAGAGUUAAGCACAGGGACACAUAUGAAGUCUCAGAGCCGGGUGUUGGUUCCGGUAGAGAUCGAGGGAAAUUAGUACCGAAGUCUGAGAUGGAAGAUGGCGAGAAAAGCUGUGUGUAUUUCUGAGGUGCCCGUACCGCAAACCGACACAGGUAGGUAGGAAGAAGAUUCUAAGGCCAACGGGAGAAGGGUUGUUAAGGAACUCGGCAAAUUGACCCCGUAACUUCGGGAGAAGGGGUGCUCCAGAGAUGGAGCCGCAGAGAAUCGGCCCAAGCAACUGUUUACCAAAAACACAGGUUUGUGCUAAAUCGAAAGAUGACGUAUACGAGCUGACGCCUGCCCGGUGCUGGAAGGUUAAGAGGAGAUGUGCAAGCAUUGAAUCGAAGCCCCAGUGAACGGCGGCCGUAACUAUAACGGUCCUAAGGUAGCGAAAUUCCUUGUCAGGUAAGUUCUGACCCGCA
rnacentral:rRNA from 1 species